rnacentral:rRNA from 1 species
AACGCAGCGAAGGGCGAUAAGUAAUGUGAAUUGCAGAAUUCAGUGAAUCAUCGAAUCUUUGAACGCACAUUGCGCCCGCCAGUAUUCUGGCGGGCAUGCCUGUCUGAGCGUCAUUUCAACCCUCAAGCAACUUCUGCUUGGUGUUGGGGAUCGGCCGUCAAACGCCGCCCCCGAAAUCUAUUGGCGAUCUCGCUGUAGCUUCCUAUGCGUAGUAGUAACAUCUCGCAUCUGGAGAGCGGCGCGGUCACGCCGUAAAACACCCAACUUUUCAGGUUGACCUCAGAUCAGGUAGGAAUACCCGCUGAACUUAA